rnacentral:misc_RNA from 1 species
AUUCUAUAAAUACACACUUAGACAUAUAAGCUUAUAGAAACCAAAAACCAUACUCAAGACUCAUUAUGACUAGCUCUAUGAAGAAAAUGAUUCUUAUCAUUUUCAUCACAACCAUGGUUUUAUCUCCGACAAGUUUUAUCUCUUGUCUCGCAGAUGUUCAUGCUACUGAAAGUCCCACCGAACCAGCAGGCAAGAACAUUGACAAACCUCAUCACUAAAUAAUCAGAACAUUAAUGAGAGCAUUUUCAAUAUUAAUUUAUCUUAUUUGUAAACAUUUUUUAAUGAUUAUUUUGUAGCCUCUCACGUUACUGGAGGUGAUAAAGUAGCAUGUCCUGCUUGCCGCUGCUGUGAAGGCCCAAAACCUCCACCGGGAACUUGUUGCCGUUGUUGUUAAAUGUUAAUUAAGCUCAAAAAUCAACUUCCUCGUAAACUUUAGUUAAGCCUCUUAAUUACUAUUAGGGUUCAAUAUCUACUUAUGUUGUUGUAGUGUUGUGUAUUCGUACUUGUCUUGACCAAAUAAAAGUGUAGCUAGCCGCUUAAAUCCAUCCGUUGUUAGGAUGGUGCUUUGGCCAAAGUGAUUCGAAUAUACCUUUUAUACACAAAUACAUGUUUA